GAUGAACGCUGGCGGUGUGCCUAAUACAUGCAAGUCGAGCGAACAGACGAGGAGCUUACUCCUCUGACGUUAGCGGCGGACGGGUGAGUAACACGUGGAUAACCUACCUAUAAGACUGGGAUAACUUCGGGAAACCGGAGCUAAUACCGGAUAACAUGUUGAACCGCAUGGUUCAACAGUGAAAGACGGUCUUGCUGUCACUUAUAGAUGGAUCCGCGUCGCAUUAGCUAGUUGGUAAGGUAACGGCUUACCAAGGCAACGAUGCGUAGCCGACCUGAGAGGGUGAUCGGCCACACUGGAACUGAGACACGGUCCAGACUCCUACGGGAGGCAGCAGUAGGGAAUCUUCGGCAAUGGGCGAAAGCCUGACGGAGCCACGCCGCGUGAGUGAAGAAGGUCUUCGGAUCGUAAAACUCUGUUAUUAGGGAAGAACAAAUGUGUAAGUAACUAUGCACGUCUUGACGGUACCUAAUCAGAAAGCCACGGCUAACUACGUG
rnacentral:rRNA from 1 species